rnacentral:misc_RNA from 1 species
UCCGGUUUGUCACCGGCAGUCUCACAUGAGUCCCCAACUUAAUGCUGGCAACACGCGACGGGGGUUGCGCUCGUUGCGGGACUUAACCCAACAUCUCACGACACGAGCUGACGACAGCCAUGCAGCACCUGUGUCCAGGUUCCCUUUCGGGCACACCUCCAUCUCUGGAGGCUUCCUGGCAUGUCAAGGCCAGGUAAGGUUCUGCGCGUUGCAUCGAAUUAAACCACAUACUCCACCGCUUGUGCGGGCCCCCGUCAAUUCCUUUGAGUUUCAGUCUUGCGACCGUACUCCCCAGGCGGCGAAUUUAACGCGUUAGCUUCGACACUGAGAGCCUGAUUGCUCCCAACGUCCAGUUCGCAUCGUUUAGGGCGUGGACUAC